rnacentral:sRNA from 1 species
AUAUUAAUAUUAUAUUAUAAUUUGAUUAUUUGAUUAAAAAAGUAUUUUUGUUAAAAAAUUAAACCAAUAGUGAGAUGAGAAUUGUCAUGAUGGGUUGUAUAGAGUAUCUCAGAGUUUUUCAAGUGAGAAACUUUCUACACUCUCUCCUUCAUUUUUAUUAUUUUUAUUUUUUUAAUUGUGAAAAACUUUUAUGAGAUACUGCCAAUGGAAAUGAUCUAAGAGGCUCAUAUAUAUCGUCCAUCAAUUCAAAUGACUGCACCUUGAUUCAUGAUUGUACCCAAGUACCCAACAGUUCGAAACCUGAUCAGGCUCUAAAAGUGUUACAAAACACCGUAAUGUUUCGGAAAUUUCCUUAAAUAGAGAAAUUUCAAAAUAUUAGGAAAUAUUUUUCAAUUU